rnacentral:rRNA from 1 species
AAUCAACGCUGGCGGCGUGCCUAACACAUGCAAGUCGAACGCGAAAGCCCGCAAGGGUGAGUAGAGUGGCGCACGGGUGAGUAACACGUGGACAACCUGCCUUCGAGUGGGGAAUAACCUUCCGAAAGGAGGGCUAAUACCGCAUAACACCUCGGGACACAAGUUCUGGGGUUGAAAAGAGCAAUUUGCUCGAAGAGGGGUCCGCGCCUGAUUAGCUAGUUGGUGAGGUAACGGCUCACCAAGGCUUCGAUCAGUAGCCGUCCUGAGAGGGAGCACGGCCACACUGGAACUGAGACACGGUCCAGACUCCUACGGGAGGCAGCAGUGGGGAAUUUUGGCAAUGGGCGAAAGCCUGACCAAGCAACGCCGCGUGGGUGAUGAAGUAUCUUGGUACGU